GAAGAGCGUGAUGAGGACGGCAAGGGCGUGCUAGAAUCGUACUAUGGUCGUGAACAGCGUGGUAUAGUCGUAGUGGAAGCGUAGUUUGGUCGCGGUGAGAACGUGAUGGUCGUAGUGAGGUCGUAAUAACGUCGCAAUGAGAUCGUAGCGCAGUUUCUCCGAAUAGAAUCACGCUUUCGCUACGCUCUCACUACGAUGGUACAACGACCUUUGCGAUCUUACUACGAUC
rnacentral:lncRNA from 1 species